rnacentral:rRNA from 1 species
AUUGAACGCUGGCGGCAGGCCUAACACAUGCAAGUCGAGCGGAUGAAGGGAGCUUGCUCCUGGUUUCAGCGGCGGACGGGUGAGUAAUGCCUAUGAAUCUGCCUCGUAGUGGGGGAUAACGUCCGGAAACGGGCGCUAAUACCGCAUACGCCCUGCGGGAGAAAGCGGGGGAUCUUCGGACCUCACGCUAUCAGAUGAGCCUAGGUCGGAUUAGCUAGUUGGUGGGGUAAAGGCCUACCAAGGCGACGAUCCGUAACUGGUCUGAGAGGAUGAUCAGUCACACUGGAACUGAGACACGGUCCAGACUCCUACGGGAGGCAGCAGUGGGGAAUAUUGGACAAUGGGCGAAAGCCUGAUCCAGCCAUGCCGCGUGUGUGAAGAAGGUCUUCGGAUUGUAAAGCACUUUAAGUUGGGAGGAAGGGCAGUAAGUUAAUACCUUGCUGUUUUGACGUUACCAACAGAAUAAGCACCGGCUAACUUCGUG